rnacentral:tRNA from 1 species
AAAAAGAUAAGCUAAAUAAGCUAAUAGGUUCAUACCCUUUUCAUGAGAGUACUAACCUCUCUCUUUUUA